AAAACAGUACAGAUGAUAAAUAAGGACGGUCAGUUCCUGUCACAUCUACUGACAGAAUCACAAGAGAUGGGUAGACCAUGGAGCCUGAGUUAUGAUGUCAACACUCACCGUCUCUGGGUCGGAUCAGGAUCACUGGACAACAAGGUGUGUGUCUACAGGUAUAUCACCAGACAGGACGCUCUGACAGAUGAACACAGACCCCGUCCUGAUUUGGACACCCCAUGCCCAACACCUCGUCAAAAGACAGUCCAGCGAAUGCAACAACUUGUCAGAAGUCAACUAAACGAAAAUGUUUGUCCUGAUGGGGACACCAUGUCCAGCUCAACACAAGCCGUAUAAUGGAGAUAGCUGGGAUAUUGACAGACAAGCUGCUUUUUUAAACGCCUUUAGGGGGAGACAGUAGAAAACCUGCCCGGAUUGCCCAUAAUUCCAAUGGAGUUACAGAAGUCAACAUAUUACCGGUCAUCAAGGGACUUUGUGUUCUGUGUACGUUAACUCAACAUGAAUGGACUCUGUGUCUGUGUGUGCGUGAACUCUACACAAAAAUAAUGCGUCUUCAAUGGACUUUGUGUUCUGUGUACAUAAACUCUUUAUGAAUAAUGCCUCAUCAAUGGACUCUGUCUUUUGUGUACAUGAACUCUACUGUAAUUUGUUAUCAAACGUUUUUUGUCAAUUUUAUCUAAGUGUAAAUGUUGUCAGUAUAUAAUAUGUUUUACAUAUCUAAGCUCCUGAAAUUUCUGGUAUCAUUCGGUGCUAGGACGGAGAUGUCCAUUACAAUUGUAGCCAAUGUGUCACAUAGUGUUUUGUUUUUUAGUUUUGAUUUUUACACAAGAAAUCUUGUAUGUUGUAGUAAACAUUAUUUUCAAAGGGGAAUAACUCGAAAUUUGUAUUUUUAGUCAGGAUGAAAAAACAGUUAUUCCCCCUUAUAUAAUUUUCCUAAGAUGAAGUUUGACUUAAGAAUGGGAACUGAAUUUGAUGGUGUUCAUCCCUAACAGUUUUAUUGGUAGGAUUGAAUAUCAGUUAAUGUAUUUUAACAAUAUAUCGUGAUCAUUUGAGAAGAAGUGAUCUGAUAAGCUUUUGAUAAGUUUUAGAUGUUUUUUUUAUACAAUGUUAUGUAGUUUUAGUUUCAGUAUGUAAAUACACAUGUAGUUGAUGUUAGUUUUUAAUUCAUUAAGUUUGAGCUGUGCAUGUGUAACAAUUGGUGCAUCAUAUAUUGCUUGUUGUGCUCAAAAGGUAGGUCACAAUGACCCAAUUAGACUUAUGGUAGUUUAUAGUGAAACUAUUUUAGAACAUUUAUUUG
rnacentral:sRNA from 1 species